GUGUGCACUACACAGAGGAUCUCCUCCCAUGCUCUUGUCUCUUCCGCAGUAGUAAGCUGAAAUGCUUGAAACUCAGUGCUUGCUCACCUGAUUUUGUGGGGCAGGGGGAGGGACAGAAGGGGGAAUUCUCUGUUGGAAAGAAGAGGAUUUUCUGUUAAACUGCCAUGUCUAUUCGACUUUUCCACAUUGAGCAUGAUUCAUUGAAGUUUUUGUUAUACUGAAGCGUGGUUCUCCUCCUCUGCUGGCACUGGUAUGUCAUCGCCUCUGGGCUGCUUAGAAGACUCCUUUAGCAUGUGCUAUUUCCAUAGCACCUCUCUGCAACCUUCAUCUUUCUUUGUGAGUCUCUUCCUCCUGACCAUGUGGUAGCUCCAUUCUGAAACCAGAAUUAUAAAUAAAUAAAGACUUGGAUUUGCCUCUGUCUUUCCCCACACUUAAUACUUCCUGCUCCUGUUCACCAAGGAGGAGAUUUUCUCCCAACCAGUGACUUCAGCUUCAAUUAGGAGUUCCAAAGCAAUCCUGGCACUCUUGGCUUUAGCAUCCUUUCUCAAAUGUCUUGGAAUAACUGCCAAGCACUGUAUUGGAGACCAUAACAUUACCUAGGAUCUCCCAGGGACCAAGAACCACUGUCUCCUUGAAUUCUGGAUGAUCUGCUACUUCACAAUAAGUUCCAAACUCAUAAAGAGUAUCCAAAGCCCCAGAGUUUGAGGGUAAUCUUUGUUUCCCUCCUUGUUCAAGACAGUACAUUUUACUGACCUGGUAUAUUCUUUAUCUAUUGCUGCAUUGAAAAUUACUCCAGUUGGGCUACAGUCAACACAAGGUUCAACUGGGACAAGAUAUACUUCCAAACUCAUCCGGUGGCUGUUGGCAGGUUUCACUUCCUUUUGGGCCGUUGGGCUGAGGACCCAGUUCUCUGCUGGAUGCUGACUAGAAGCUGCCCUGGAUUUCUUGCCUUGCAGGUUCCUCCAACAUGGCAGCUGGUUUCAGCAUCAAAGCACACAAGCCAAGAAGUCAAUAGAGAGGAGAAAGCAGCA
rnacentral:lncRNA from 10 species